UACGGGGGGGGGCAAGCGUUGUUCGGAAUUACUGGGCGUAAAGGGCUCGUAGGCGGCCAACUAAGUCAGACGUGAAAUCCCUCGGCUUAACCGGGGAACUGCGUCUGAUACUGGAUGGCUAGAGGUUGGGAGAGGGAUGCGGAAUUCCAGGUGUAGCGGUGAAAUGCGUAGAUAUCGAGAGGAACACCGGUGGCGAAGGCGGCCAACUGGACGAAUACUGACGCUGAGACACGAAAGCGUGGGGAGCAAACAGG
rnacentral:rRNA from 1 species